GACGUAGGGCGCGAGCGUUGUCCGGAUUUAUUGGGCGUAAAGAGUUCGUAGGCGGUUGCCUAAGUCUGGUGUUAAAGACCGAAGCUCAACUUCGGCAUGGCAUUGGAAACUGGGCGGCUAGAGUGCGGUAGAGGUCUCGGGAAUUCCAGGUGUAGCGGUGAAAUGCGUAGAUAUCUGGAGGAACACCGGUGGCGAAAGCGCGAGACUGGGCCGUAACUGACGCUGAGGAACGAAAGCCAGGGGAGCAAAAGGG
rnacentral:rRNA from 1 species